AAAAACACGUUGAAGAGAAGAGUAGGCUGGGAAAGAAAUGCCAGAGAGAGAAGCCGCAGGCUGAAAGCUUCUUAUUUUGGAACCUUCUGAAAACUACCUCUGAGUGGCUGCAAAACAGUCCGGUGAUUCCGUUAUCGUCAUAAUUAAGAGGUUCUGACAUGAGAGGUCUUUGAAAAAUGAAGAGACUUUGAUGCGUCAGUUCAAACAGGGUGGAACCGCGAGAAAACUCGUCCCUUAC
rnacentral:ncRNA from 1 species